UACGUAGGGGGCAAGCGUUGUCCGGAUUUAUUGGGUGUAAAGAGCGUGUAGGCGGCCAGACAGGUCCGUUGUGAAAACUCGAGGCUCAACCUCGAGAUGUCGAUGGAAACCGUCUGGCUAGAGUCCGGAAGAGGAGUGUGGAAUUCCUGGUGUAGCGGUGAAAUGCGCAGAUAUCAGGAAGAACACCUAUGGCGAAGGCAGCACUCUGGGACGGUACUGACGCUGAGACGCGAAAGCGUGGGGAGCGAACAGG
rnacentral:rRNA from 1 species